rnacentral:rRNA from 1 species
UGGUCAAGUUAUUAAGGGUGCAGGGCGGAUGCCUUGGCACUAGGAGCCGAUGAAGGACGUGAUAAGCUGCGAUAAGCUUCGGGGAGUUGCACGUAAACUUUGAUCCGAAGAUUUCCGAAUGAGGAAACUCACUUAGAGUAAUGUCUAAGUAUCAUUAAGUGAAUACAUAGCUUAAUGAGGGGAACUCAGGGAACUGAAACAUCUAAGUACCUGAAGGAAGAGAAAGAAAUUCGAUUCCGUAAGUAGCGGCGAGCGAACGCGGAUUAGCCCAAACCAAUAAAGUUUUCUUUAUUGGGGUUGCGGACAUAUCAUAACGAAGAGGUAUCGUAAUUGAAGAGGUUUGGAAAGACCCACCACAGAAGGUAAUAGUCCUGUAUGUUAAACGAGAAGACUUUAGAUAUGAUCCAGAGUACCACGGGACACGUGAAACCCUGUGGGAAGCAGGAGGGACCACCCUCCAAGGCUAAAUACUACCUAGUGACCGAUAGCGUAUAGUACCGUGAGGGAAAGGUGAAAAGAACCCCGGGAGGGGAGUGAAAUAGAACCUGAAACCCUGCACUUACAAGCUGUGGAAGCACAUUUCUUGUGUGACCGCGUACUUUUUGUAGAACGGGCCAACGAGUUACGUUAAGUAGCAAGGUUAAGCACUUAAGGUGCGGAGCCGUAGCGAAAGCGAGUUUUAACUGAGCGUUCAGUUACUUGACGUAGACCCGAAACCGGGCGACCUACCCAUGAGCAGGAUGAAGCGAAAGUAAAAUUUCGUGGAGGUCCGAACCCACGAGCGUUGAAAAGCUCGGGGAUGACUUGUGGGUAGCGGUGAAAUUCCAAUCGAGCCCGGAGAUAGCUGGUUCUCCCCGAAAUAGCUUUAGGGCUAGCCUCAAGGUGAGAGAUACGGAGGUAGAGCACUGAAUGUCCUAGGGGGUAUUGCACCUACCGAAGACUAUCAAACUCCGAAUGCCGUCAUCUUAUACUUGGGAGUCAGACUGUGGGUGAUAAGAUUCAUAGUCGAAAGGGCAACAGCCCAGAUCGUCAGCUAAGGUCCCUAAAUGUAAGUUAAGUGGUAAAGGAUGUGGGAUUGCACAGACAACCAGGAUGUUGGCUUAGAAGCAGCCACUCAUUCAAAGAGUGCGUAAUAGCUCACUGGUCGAGUGAUCCUGCGCCGAAGAUUUCCGGGGCUAAAACUUACUACCGAAGCUACGGCAUCAGUAAUGAUGGGUAGGGGAGCUUCCCAUACGGGUUGAAGCAUGACCGUAAGGACAUGUGGACAGUAUGGGAGUGAGAAUGUUGGCAUGAGUAGCGAGAUGUGGGUGAGAAUCCCACAGGCCGUAAACCCAAGGUUUCCAGGGGGAAGGUUCGUCCGCCCUGGGUUAGUCGGGACCUAAGCUGAGGCCGAAAGGCGUAGGUGAUGGACAACAGGUUGAUAUUCCUGUACUACCGAUAACCGUUUGAGAGAUGGGAUGACACAGUAGGAUAAGCUAAGCACACUGUUGGUUAUGUGUGCCCAAGCAUUGAGGCAGUCAAAGUAGGCAAAUCCGCUUUGAUAAUGCUGGGAUGUGAUGGGGAGCGAAAUUUAGUAGCGAAGUAGCUGAUUUCACACUGUCAAGAAAAGUCUCUAUCGAGGUUAAAGGUACCCGUACCGCAAACCGACACAGGUGGGUGAGGAGAGUAUCCUAAGGCCAGCGAGAGAACUGUUGUUAAGGAACUCGGCAAAAUGACCCCGUAACUUAGGGAUAAGGGGUGCCACCAUCAGGUGGCCGCAGAGAAUAGGCCCAAGCGACUGUUUACCAAAAACAUAGGUUUCUGCUAAGUCGCAAGACGAUGUAUAGGAGCUGACGCCUGCCCGGUGCUGGAAGGUUAAGGGGAUCUGUUAGAGCAAUCGAAGCAGUGAACUUAAGCCCCAGUAAACGGCGGCCGUAACUAUAACGGUCCUAAGGUAGCGAAAUUCCUUGUCGGGUAAGUUCCGACCCGCACGAAAGGCGUAACGAUUUGGGCACUGUCUCAACAACAGACUCGGUGAAAUUGUAAUUCCGGUGAAGAUGCCGGAUACCUGCGACAGGACGGAAAGACCCCAUGGAGCUUUACUGUAGCUUGACAUUGGGUCUUGGUACUACAUGUACAGGAUAGGUGGGAGGCUUUGAAACCAGGACGCCAGUUUUGGCGGAGCCAUCCUUGGGAUACCACCCUUGUAGUACUGGGACUCUAACCAUAGGCCAUGAAUCUGGUCUUGGGACACUGUCAGGUGGGCAGUUUGACUGGGGCGGUCGCCUCCCAAAAGGUAACGGAGGCGCUCAAAGGUUCUCUCAGUACGGUCGGAAAUCGUACGUAGAGUGUAAAGGCAAAAGAGAGCUUGAUUGCAAGACAUACAGGUCGAGCAAGGAUGAAAAUCGGACUUAGUGAUCCGGUGGUUCUGCGUGGAAGGGCCAUCGCUCAACGGAUAAAAGCUACCCUGGGGAUAACAGGCUUAUCUCCCCCAAGAGUCCACAUCGACGGGGAGGUUUGGCACCUCGAUGUCGGCUCAUCACAUCCUGGGGCUGUAGUAGGUCCCAAGGGUUGGGCUGUUCGCCCAUUAAAGUGGUACGCGAGCUGGGUUCAGAACGUCGUGAGACAGUUCGGUCCCUAUCCGUCGCAGGCGUAGGAAAUUUGAGAAGACCUGUCCUUAGUACGAGAGGACCGGGAUGGACGUACCUCUGGUGUACCAGUUGUCCUGCCAAGGGCAUGGCUGGGUAGCUAUGUACGGAAUGGAUAAGCGCUGAAAGCAUCUAAGCGCGAAGCCAACUUCAAGAUAAGAUUUCCCACCGCAAGGGUAAGACCCCAGAAAGACUAUCUGGUUGAUAGGUCGAAGGUGUAAGUGCAGCAAUGUAUUUAGCUUAUCGAUACUAAUAGGUCGAGGACUUGACCAAU